GAACGGGGAGGAGCCCAGAGCCUGAAUCAGUGUGUGUGUUAGUGGAAGCGUCUGGAAAGGCGCGCGAUACAGGGUGACAGCCCCGUACACAAAAAUGCACAUGCUGUGAGCUCGAUGAGUAGGGCGGGACACGUGGUAUCCUGUCUGAAUAUGGGGGGACCAUCCUCCAAGGCUAAAUACUCCUGACUGACCGAUAGUGAACCAGUACCGUGAGGGAAAGGCGAAAAGAACCCCGGCGAGGGGAGUGAAAAAGAACCUGAAACCGUGUACGUACAAGCAGUGGGAGCACGCUUAGGCGUGUGACUGCGUACCUUUUGUAUAAUGGGUCAGCGACUUAUAUUCUGUAGCAAGGUUAACCGAAUAGGGGAGCCGAAGGGAAACCGAGUCUUAACUGGGCGUUAAGUUGCAGGGUAUAGACCCGAAACCCGGUGAUCUAGCCAUGGGCAGGUUGAAGGUUGGGUAACACUAACUGGAGGACCGAACCGACUAAUGUUGAAAAAUUAGCGGAUGACUUGUGGCUGGGGGUGAAAGGCCAAUCAAACCGGGAGAUAGCUGGUUCUCCCCGAAAGCUAUUUAGGUAGCGCCUCGUGAAUUCAUCUCCGGGGGUAGAGCACUGUUUCGGCAAGGGGGUCAUCCCGACUUACCAACCCGAUGCAAACUGCGAAUACCGGAGAAUGUUAUCACGGGAGACACACGGCGGGUGCUAACGUCCGUCGUGAAGAGGGAAACAACCCAGACCGCCAGCUAAGGUCCCAAAGUCAUGGUUAAGUGGGAAACGAUGUGGGAAGGCCCAGACAGCCAGGAUGUUGGCUUAGAAGCAGCCAUCAUUUAAAGAAAGCGUAAUAGCUCACUGGUCGAGUCGGCCUGCGCGGAAGAUGUAACGGGGCUAAACCAUGCACCGAAGCUGCGGCAGCGACGCUGAUGCGUUGUUGGGUAGGGGAGCGUUCUGUAAGCCUGCGAAGGUGUGCUGUGAGG
rnacentral:rRNA from 1 species